GAUCCUGGCUCAGGACGAACGCUGGCGGCGUGCUUAACACAUGCAAGUCGAACGAGGAGCGAUGGAAGCUUGCUUCUAUCAAUCUUAGUGGCGAACGGGUGAGUAACGCGUAAUCAACCUGCCCUUCAGAGGGGGACAACAGUUGGAAACGACUGCUAAUACCGCAUACGAUCUGACCUCGGCAUCGAGGAUAGAUGAAAGGUGGCCUCUAUUUAUAAGCUAUC
rnacentral:rRNA from 1 species